GACGAACGCUGGCGGCGUGCCUAAUACAUGCAAGUCGAACGCACUCUCGUUUAGAUUGAAGGAGUUUGCUCUUGAUUGAUAAACAUUUGAGUGAGUGGCGGACGGGUGAGUAACACGUGGGUAACCUGCCCUAAAGUGGGGGAUAACAUUUGGAAACAGAUGCUAAUACCGCAUAAAACCUAACACCGCAUGGUGUAGGGUUGAAAGAUGGUUUCGGCUAUCACUUUAGGAUGGACCCGCGGUGCAUUAGUUAGUUGGUGAGGUAAAGGCUCACCAAGACCGUGAUGCAUAGCCGACCUGAGAGGGUAAUCGGCCACACUGGGACUGAGACACGGCCCAGACUCCUACGGGAGGCAGCAGUAGGGAAUCUUCCACAAUGGACGAAAGUCUGAUGGAGCAACGCCGCGUGAGUGAAGAAGGUUUUCGGAUCGUAAAACUCUGUUGUUGGAGAAGAAUGUAUCUGAUAGUAACUGAUCAGGUAGUGACGGUAUCCAACCAGAAAGCCACGGCUAACUACGUG
rnacentral:rRNA from 1 species